rnacentral:rRNA from 1 species
UGCGACCCCAGGUCAAGCGGGACUACCCG